GGGUGCGAGUAUGGAUCCCAUUUCCGCAUUCCUGUGGUAGCCUGCCACCCAAUUUUAUUUGCACACAAAACACUUCCACCAACGACGUUCCACGCAAACACACGCUUAGGGCCUCGGGAGUGAGCACACUCAGCGGCAUUUGGCAAGGGGAUCUUUCAGCCUCAUCCCGAGUGACGGUGCCCACUUCCAAUUUUAAACUGCACUUAGACACAGAGGGCUGUGGGGGGAAGUGGCUCUGUGUGGUGGCAUCAGCUGGCAUAGGCCAGGCGAUUAUAUAAAGUUAUAGCCAUCUAAUGACUUGUAUGCCUUUCUAACCAGGAUAAAUGUGUUUAUUUAGAUAUAAUUACACAGAAUGUGUUCUGUAAUCAGAGCAGGCAGUCAUUGUCAUUCGUUUUGUAUUUAUAGAGCUCGUCAGAUAAGUCAAAAGUAGGGCUGGGAUGAUAAUCAAUAAAAUCAAUUAAUCAUGCAAUAGACGAAAAUUAACUCAAUAAUUUUUCCAGCCUUAGUAUAUCGAGGUUAAGAAAUGUACAAGUCUAUUAUUAUUAUUAUUAUUAUUAUUAUUAUUAUUAUUAUUAUCAUUCUUAAAGAAGUUGUCACUCCCCCCUCAGUCUUACUCCACCCACGUAUCACUUUUAAAAACUGCAACAUUAGUAGGCGUUGCCUGGAGGACCGAGAGGGCGGAGCCGCGGCAGUGACGAAGAUGACGGCUAACUAGACGAUGCUAGCCCCCUUCACUCUGAGCAGUCAUUAGAAGUGGAGGAGGUUUCUCCCCCUCCUUACCCAGACACUCGAGAAGAAAGGGACCAAGUCUAUUUGGAGGAGACAAGCGGACCUGAGCCUUAUUGUUUUGAGCUUGUGAGCUGCCUGAAACUACAGGAACCGACCCAACAGAACCAGCUCUGAAUGUCCUCUGGUGUCUGCAGGUGGUCUCCUCUGCUGGUGUCGUCAGGAUCAGGAGCUCCCAGAAGAAUGUGCCUUUCAAUGACUCUUUCCCCCUUAUUUGUUAUAUUAAUUAAAUAAAUCUCAAUUGAUAUAUUUCC